AGGGCCUGACUGACUGCAGUAUAAAAGAAAAGAGGAGGGUUCAUCAAUGUGAACCCCCAUCCUGCUUUGUGUGUUCAAAUGAACGUACAGGGGAUGGAUACAAAGCUGGAUCCCUUAAUAUGUCCAUUUGCAACAUCCAGGAGCCGAUGGAGUCUGACUCUUCUGAUCGGGCUACUACUAAUCUGUCUGGCAGUACUUGGGGCCUACGUUGUCCAUGGUGCUCAAAGCAUACCUGUGGAGAUGGUUGAAAGACCAUGAAAGAUGACAUAGGAGGCGCAGUAGGAGGCAGCAAUAUCGUGUUGCUGUACCCUCCUGACAGCGAUCAGGCUCUGCCGGGACUGGUGUGUCGUUUGGGCUCAUUCCUGUCCUCUCUGGGCAUCAGUGUGUCUGUUGUCCUGUGGAGCCAGGCUGAGCUCAGUGUCCUCAGACCUGUUCCAUGGCUCCACUCCCGGCUGGACUGCCUGUAGAGACAGGGGUCAAAGUAGUGCUGGUGCUGACCCAGGCAGCCUGGGAGAGGGACACUCCGGGGGAGUGGAUGUGAAGAGGAUGGAGUCUGUGGAGGGGUGUCGUUCUCCAUAUUUGGAUGUCUUCAGCGCUUCACUCACUUGCAUUCUGUGAACUAUCUGCAGGGCCGCGCCACGCCGGUGAAAACUUCACCCUGGUGCAGUUUGAGUCUCUGCCCCUCCGGCCUCCUGGUAGCGGCUGUCCCCUGCCUGAGCUCUACAGGGGGCUGCCGCUCUUCAGCCUCCCCUCCCAGAGCCUGGGCUUCCUGACUGAACUGGCUUUGGGGCGAAGUAGUGGAGCAGCCUCAUGGCCACUGGUAGGGUGGCACAGGGCAGCCUCACGGGUACUUGCUGGGGGGCUGAGAGGGUUCCAGCAGUGUUACGGCUUGCAGGGCUGCCACAGGACAGUGUUGGUGCAGGGGUGGAGGACCCCUGGAAGUCUGUGCCUCUGGAGCCGUGUCUCAGUACCCCACCGUCUAGUCCUGACACCAAGACCAGCAGGAUAGUCUGAGAGGACAUGAGAGGCUAGGAAGGAACCAGGGGCUUUUGCUACAGGACGGUAACUGUGGCACUUAUACAGUAUACUAUAAUCAGAUACUGGACAUAAGGACUUGCGGAGAUGGUGGCUUAUUGAAACUGUAUCUCAUCAUGCACUUGUAGAGCUACUCUACAAAGUUGAGCAUGACUUGUAAAUAUUGUAAGUGAUUCACUUUUGUGCUCCUGAAACACUACUGUCAACCCCAGCUUGGUGCUCAACUACAUGUAGUUCAACUACUAAUUAAACAACAUUUGGUCAUAGCUUGGUGGUAGUUUAACUAAAUCUAAAUCUCGGUAGUGUUUUCAGUAGUUCAUUACUUUUUUUUAUUAGCUAAUUUCUUGCUCAAAAUAUAUAGUAGGCAAGAAUUUCCUCACUUGAAAUGUGUUUAAUAGGCUAAAUGACACUUUCUGUUAACAUCUGACUCCAGAGCGAUUUGUUCUUGCAAUUUUUAGUCUAUAGCUAAUUAUUUAUUUUAUUAAAGGUAGCUAUAGUGUAGCUUAACUUCUUCCAGUGUGAAGUAAUUGGUAGUUUGGUAUACUAUGAUUUCAGAGUAGCUUCCCCAACACUGUUAAAUUCUAUUUUCUACAUUUGUGUAUUAUGUUGUGGUGCAUUGCUGUGACUGGGUGAUUCAUAAUCAGUCAUAGGUCUACAGUGGUUGUGACUAAAUGCAGAACAACUACGGACGGGAGUAAACUUUUCGUAGCAGGUUAGCAGAGUAUUUUUAGCUAAGCCUUAAUAUUUUCUCAAACUUCACCUAAUUAUCCUAAACUGCUACAUUAAUUAUCCUAACCUGCUGCAUACGUUUUCCUAACCUUUAACGAACAAGUUACUUCCGGUCGUAGUUGUAUACCACGUAGUCAACACCGUCUACAGUGGUUUGAUUCAUGUUCGUGUAUUGGUCCAAAUAAAUGUUGAAAUUGAAAUUGGUCUGCUAAAUCGUCGCAGGACAAACGAUCAUGUCGUUCAGGAUCAA